rnacentral:tRNA from 1 species
GCCCUUGUAGCUCAAUGGUAGAGCUCCGCCUGUCAAGCCAAAGGCCAGUGGUUCGAUCCCCGUGCGGGACA